rnacentral:pre_miRNA from 1 species
AGUGGAAUUGCUGGGCCAUCUGUUAAUUCCACAUUUAACUUUUUGAGGACCCACAAAACUGUUUUCCAAAGAGGAUGUGCCAUGUGACAUUCCCACCAGGAAU